GGGAAUUUUGCGCAAUGGGCGAAAGCCUGACGCAGCAACGCCGCGUGGGUGACGAAGUCCCUUGGGACGUAAAACCCUGUCAGAUGGGACGAAAAAGCCCGCAAGGGCAUUGACUGUACCAUCAGAGGAAGCCCCGGCUAACUCCGUGCCAGCAGCCGCGGUAAUACGGGGGGGGCAAGCGUUGUUCGGAAUUACUGGGCGUAAAGGGCGUGUAGGCGGCCCGGCAAGUCAGUUGUGAAAUCCCCAGGCUCAACUUGGGAAUUGCAACUGAAACUGCCAGGCUAGAGUUCUGGAGAGGAGAGCGGAACUCCCAGUGUAGCGGUGAAAUGCGUAGAUAUUGGGAGGAACACCGGUGGCGAAGGCGGCUCUCUGGACAGAAACUGACGCUGAGGCGCGAAAGCUAGGGGAGCAAACGGGAUUAGA
rnacentral:rRNA from 1 species